rnacentral:rRNA from 1 species
AUUGAACGCUGGCGGCAGGCUUAACACAUGCAAGUCGAGCGGGGUGAUGGUGCUUGCACUAUCACCUAGCGGCGGACGGGUGAGUAAUGCUUAGGAAUCUGCCUAUUAGUGGGGGACAACAUCUCGAAAGGGAUGCUAAUACCGCAUACGUCCUACGGGAGAAGGCAGGGGAUCACUUGUGAUCUUCCGCUAAUAGAUGAGCCUAAGUCGGAUUAGCUAGUUGGUGGGGUAAAGGCCUACCAAGGCGACGAUCUGUAGCGGGUCUGAGAGGAUGAUCCGCCACACUGGGACUGAGACACGGCCCAGACUCCUACGGGAGGCAGCAGUGGGGAAUAUUGGACAAUGGGGGGAACCCUGAUCCAGCCAUGCCGCGUGUGUGAAGAAGGCCUUAUGGUUGUAAAGCACUUUAAGCGAGGAGGAGGCUCUUUUGGUUAAUACCCAAGAUGAGUGGACGUUACUCGCAGAAUAAGCACCGGCUAACUCUGUGCCAGCAGCCGCCGUAAAAC